AGAGCUAGAGUGUUCAAGCAACCCUGCCAGGCUGAAAACCGUUUCUGAGGUGAUAGAAGUAUUCUAUGGUGUAGACGGAAGAUGCCCUGCCUUUAUCUCCUGGAGGGGGAAAAAAAAAACUUUUGCCAGGAAAUGAGGGAUUUUCAAACCCCUACAACAACUGGAAGAGAAAUGUGGUGAUUUUGCCAGUGAGCACAAGGAACUCGGCCUGCUGUCAAAAGGCUCUCUGUCCAACUCGGGCUGCAUUCACGGAAACAAAAAUCUUCCUCUUCAGCCACCUAAGUGCCUGUUGAAUUAGGCACACAGCCAAGGAAAUAAGAGACUAUGGCAUGAUGAGGCCUAAAUGAAAGAUACAUAUCACAGCCCUCCUUCCAGGGCCUAGGCAUCUUGCCAGAAGACAGGGAGGAACGAUUGCAAGAACCAGAGAUGGCAGAUCACAUCAAGAUGUUUCGGCAACAUUUCCUACGGCUGCAGCAGCGGUAACGUGUUCUACCGAAGAUCAAACAAUCUCUCAGGAUCUGGCAAGAUUUAACAGAAAUUUAAAACAAUACUUUCCAGAGAAAACGGAAUGGAGCAACGUUCUCUAAAUAAACUGAAUUGAAGUCAAGAAGAGAAUUACUGCUGCAAGAAGCUGAGAUUCCAUAAGGCUCACCUAUCCACUGGUCAAGCACCUGGUCAAUGUAGAGAGAGGAAGCUAGUCUGGGUCACUGUGUGAAUCUUCAUGCAUCUCUGCUUCAUUCAACAGCUAGCUCUUAGCAUCAAGGUAAGAUCUGAUUAAGACCAGAUUUAGGUCUCUGAGUUGACCCACCUCCAAAAUCUCUCAUCUCUGUUCCAAAUGAGAAAGCAUCAGUCCUGCUGUUCCAAACUUGUAGGAUCUCCAAAGCACACUGCAACAAUGGGAUAACUAUGAGGAUCCAAUAAGUACGGUGUCACAGAAGCUAGAGAUUUUGAACCAGACCAAAGACUCAUUGCAGUGAACAUUUGCAAGUGAAGAUGUGUGGACAGAGGGAUAGACUGUCGGACACACUGUGACAGACUACAGCUUCCAUGAUGAAAUGUUUUCCUGUGCUUUUCCUGUGUUUUGUUGUUGUUGGUGGUGGUGCUGGUGGUGGUGC